rnacentral:rRNA from 1 species
UGGGGAAUAUUGGACAAUGGGCGAAAGCCUGAUCCAGCAAUGCCGCGUGGGUGAAGAAGGUCUUCGGAUUGUAAAGCCCUUUCGGCGGGGACGAUAAUGACGGUACCCGCAGAAGAAGCCCCGGCUAACUUCGUGCCAGCAGCCGCGGUAAUACGAAGGGGGCUAGCGUUGCUCGGAAUGACUGGGCGUAAAGGGCGCGUAGGCGGUUCACAGAGUCGGGCGUGAAAUUCCUGGGCUUAACCCGGGGGCUGCGUUCGAUACCUGUGGACUGGAGUGAGGAAGAGGGUCGUGGAAUUCCCAGUGUAGAGGUGAAAUUCGUAGAUAUUGGGAAGAACACCGGUGGCGUAGGCGGCGACCUGGUCCUUUACUGACGCUGAGGCGCGAAAGCGUGGGGAGCAAACA